AUUGAACGCUGGCGGCAGGCCUAACACAUGCAAGUCGAGCGAGCGGCGGACGGGUGAGUAAUGUCUGGGGAUCUGCCUGAUGGAGGGGGAUAACUACUGGAAACGGUAGCUAAUACCGCAUACCAUCGGAUGUACCCAUAUGGGAUUAGCUAGUAGGUGGGGUAAUGGCUCACCUAGGCGACGAUCCCUAGCUGGUCUGAGAGGAUGACCAGCCACACUGGGACUGAGACACGGUCCAGACUCCUAAGGGAGGCAGCAGUGGGGAAUAUUGCACAAUGGGCGCAAGCCUGAUGCAGCCAUGCCGCGUGUGUGAAGAAGGCCUUAGGGUUGUAAAGUACUUUCAGCGAGGAGGCGUUACCCGCAGAAGAAGCACCGGCUAACUCCGUGCCAGCAGCCGCGGUAAUAC
rnacentral:rRNA from 1 species